CUUUUGUUAAAGCAAUCACAUGCCAAUCAAUAUUUUACAACAAUCAAUCCACUUGGAAAUUUCCUCACAAGCUCUUCUUCAUCCCUGAAGUGCGCAGCAACCAUAGUGAUUCCAGCAAACAAGCAAAUUCAGAAUCAGGCAGCAACCAUUUCACAUCCUAAAUACCUAAAGGCUUUGAGCAUCAGGAGGAUUAGCACUGCUAUUCCAAUUCAGAGAUAAGGUUAAACGACAGGCUUUGCCUAGACAGGUGGGCUUAUUUUUCAAAUGUAUGCUUGAGUUAUUAAGCUCUAAAUAUUUCAUGAAAUGAAAACUGUUUAUCCAAUAAAUAUUUUUGUGCGCUCUGUUAUGUUUAAGGCUCGCAAUUCAUGGAUCGAUCGAGGUUCUCUUAUGGCCUAACACGUUAUUUGAGAAUUGUGUACACUUGUUAGUUGUUUCGGUGGGUUGAUCUCCAUCGGGCACUAAUUCAUGUAAGAGGCGUUAUAAGGGUGCUUGGCUGGAUGUGUUCCGGAGCAUGUAUCAUGUAAGGCCUGCCUGGGUAGCGUCCCGAGGUCAAUUCAACUUGUCUGAGUUACGUCCUCAGGGCAAGUGUCAUGGGAGAAAGCGAUACGUCGGUGGCUAAAAGGUCCGGUAUCACAGUGAGUAACUAAACAGAGUGUGACAAUGGCGCGCUAAUAAAAUGAAAUACUUUAACAUGCUUAGAAGUUAUUUUUGUUUUAAAACCUUCUAAGUUAUGUCAGGAAUGAUUGGAUAAACUGCUCUUACGAAUUGUGAAAUGUUUUAAAAGUUGCAGCCCACUAAGUACAUUAGUACUUAGCCCAAAAAUACUUUCAAAUGUUUUCAGGUUAAUGGCGGGUGAUGACGGGGCAGAGCUGAGGCUAGAGUUCAACUCCUUAUUUUGAUUUCCGCUGCAGAACUAGCCAGUAUCUGUCUUUUGUUUCUUAACUUAAGACCUAUCAUGUUGUGAUUCUAAACAAUAUCUUUUGUUGAGCCUAAACUAUUGACUCUCAAAGUAUUUCAAUCAGUGAAUGUUGGUUAUCUGAAGCAUGACACUAAACUUGUGAUCC